AACGAACGCUGGCGGCAGGCUUAACACAUGCAAGUCGAACGGUUGUAGCAAUACAGCAGUGGCAGACGGGUGAGUAACACGUGGGAACCUUCCUAGGGGUACGGAACAACUCAGGGAAACUUGAGCUAAUACCGUAUACGUCCGUGAGGAGAAAGAUUUAUCGCCCUUAGACGGGCCCGCGUCGGAUUAGCUAGUUGGUGGGGUAACGGCCUACCAAGGCGACGAUCCGUAGCUGAUCUUAGAGGAUGAUCAGCCACACUGGGACUGAGACACGGCCCAGACUCCUACGGGAGGCAGCAGUGGGGAAUCUUGGACAAUGGGCGCAAGCCUGAUCCAGCCAUGCCGCGUGAGUGAAGAAGGUCUUCGGAUUGUAAAGCUCUUUUGCCAGGGACGAUAGUGACGGUACCUGGAGAAUAAGCCCCGGCAAACUUCGUGCCAGCAGCCGCGGUAAU
rnacentral:rRNA from 1 species